UGGGGAAUCUUCCGCAAUGGACGAAAGUCUGACGGAGCAACGCCGCGUGUAUGAUGAAGGUCUUCGGAUUGUAAAGUACUGUCAUUGGGGAAGAACGGUUUUCUUGAAAAGAUUGAGAAGACAUGACGGUACCCAAGGAGGAAGCCCCGGCUAACUACGUGCCAGCAGCCGCGGUAAUACGUAGGGGGCAAGCGUUGUCCGGAAUUAUUGGGCGUAAAGGGCGCGUAGGCGGGCCUUUAAGUCCGGUGUGAAAGAUCAGGGCUCAACCCUGAGAGUGCAUCGGAAACUGGAGGCCUUGAGGACAGGAGAGGAAAGUGGAAUUCCACGUGUAGCGGUGAAAUGCGUAGAUAUGUGGAGGAACACCAGUGGCGAAGGCGACUUUCUGGACUGUAACUGACGCUGAGGCGCGAAAGCGUGGGGAGCAAACAGGAUUAGAUACCCUGGUAGUCCACGCCGUAAACGAUGAGUGCUAGGUGUAGAGGGUAUCGACCCCUUCUGUGCCGCAGUUAACACAAUAAGCACUCCGCCUGGGGAGUACGGCCGCAAGGUUGAAACUCAAAUGAAUUGACGGGGGUCAUAGCUGUUCAU
rnacentral:rRNA from 1 species